rnacentral:lncRNA from 1 species
GGUGUACCUGGCUGAGUCUCUGUGGCCGCGGAGGCGCGGAGCUAAGCGGCUCGGAUUAUCCUGGGCAGACCAGAGACUUGACCAGCUAAACACUUCCGUCGGUCCGGGGCGUGGACGGGGCCAGAUCAGCCUCCUGCUCUCCCGAGUCAGGGCCACGGAAAGGCACAAAUCCAUCCGUGCGACUCCUGGUACCCAGACCGGGAGGUUGUCUAGUCACGCGCGGUCUGUGUUGGGCGAGAGCUGAGGAGCCGGCGUCCCUGCCAACGACUCGGCCCCGGGACGGUCAGGAGCCUGGGGCCCUGGUCCCGCACCUGUCUUCGGGCGGACGCAUCCCUCACGGUCUCUCCGCAGCCCGCGGGUCCUGCCCCCGCAGGCAGCGCGCGAACGUGGGCGUGGGGAUGGCCACCAGUUUCCGGACAGCUUCGUGCUGGGGAUUAUUGUCAUUCAAGGAUAUAUCUAUGGAGUUCACCUGGGAUGAAUGGCAGCUACUGGAUUCUACACAGAAGUACCUGUACAGAGAUGUGAUAUUGGAAAACUAUCAUAACCUGAUAUCAGUGGAUGGCUGGGAAGAAUGGUACCAGAACAAUCAAGAUGAGCUUGAGAGUAUUGAAAGAAGCUAUGCUUGUAGUGUGUUGGGAA